rnacentral:rRNA from 1 species
UACCAGCACCCCGAGUGGUCGGGACGAUUAUUGGGCCUAAAGCAUCCGUAGCCGGCCUUACAAGUCCCCCGUUAAAUCCAACUGCUUAACAGAUGGGCUGCGGAGGAUACUAUAAGACUAGGAGGCAGGAGAGGCAAGCGGUACUCAGUGGGUAGGGGUAAAAUGCGUAGAUAUCAUUUGGAACGCCAAUGGUGAAAACAGGUAGCUGGGAGUGUGCUGACGCUGAGACACGAAAGCCAGGGGAGCAAACGGG